rnacentral:tRNA from 1 species
GCGGGAAGGGGCUGCGGACGCCGGUGGCGGGCCCCUGUCGCGGGCCCCUGUCGCGGGUCCCUCCCCCGCGCCCGCG